CCGAGUUCUAAACUCCCAAACCCCUGUAAACAUACCUAUCGUUGCCUCGGCGUAUGCGCCCCGGGCCCCCCGGGCACCGGAACCCGGCGCCGCCAAAGGACCUAAACUCUUGUAUUAGUACGUAUUCUGAGUGACACAAGCAAAUAAAUCA
rnacentral:misc_RNA from 1 species